rnacentral:lncRNA from 1 species
CAAAAGUGGAUCAUCAGGGAAAGAAAUUGCAGCAUCGCACAUCAUAAGAGAUACCUCCCUGGUGAUACUGCAUCAAUACUGGCAACUGCUUAGAAGUGCUCGGAGAGUGGAGGGAAGACAACUGCUUCAAUUCAAACCAUGUGAAAGUCUGUGGCUGCACUAGUGCCUUGUUCUGCUCGACAGCCUGAUUUCAGAAGACUGUUUGAAGAAGUAAUGCAAUCCAUUUGCUCAGUUUCUCAAUAAUAAGAACUGACAGCCUUGCGCUGCAAUUGUUGUAUACAAUGUUAGCACUGAAGCUUUGCUCACAGCAACGUAUGGUGGGGGAGGCAGCAUUGAACCUUAUUUUUAAGUAGCUCAAAGCUCUUCAGUUCAUUGUUCCUCCUCACUUGUAUGUGUUCCUUCUUCAGGAAAAUGCUAGGACACUGCCAAAACAGCAAUAGAACAGGAACAUUAUGAGGCGAGACCAACACUGCUGGCAAAGCAGCAACAGCCGUAUGUGAUAGCUGAGAACGACCAGAGCCAUUAGAGCAGGACUUCAUCACCAUUCCCCUGAACUCAACAGCAGCUGUCAGUGAUUUCAGUGGAAGCAGGAAGAACACCGAUGACAGAUAAGCAAGUGACAAGGGGACUUCCAGCACAAACAGCUCCAUCAUCUUCUAGGGUUAGGCAAUAAAAUAAAAGAAAGAAUUAGCCCAUCUGGUGAGAUAGAUGACCCGAGUACACCUUCAUGGUAACAUGGAGUUGGACGUUGUUAGACAUUUAGGUAGAACUAUGGUGUUGCCUGUAAAUGUGACUCUGGGGAACAGUUUCAGAUAGAAGAGGCUAACGUACAGACACUUCGAUGCCAUUCCUUAUCAUCCCAGAUCAUGAGAUCAUCUAACAACAUUGUAUUCCUACAUUCUUUCUUUAUUUUUCAAACUAUUCUAGCCCAUGCUUUUUUUUUUUUUUAAUAGAUUGAUAAUAUUACAUUUAUCUGAUGUAUUCUGGUCUUUUGAAGGUCUGUAAUAUGAACACAUUCAUCUCAGUGAGACCUACUGCUUCAAAAUCUCUUUCACCAUCACCCUAGUAAAGAACUGGAGAAAACCUUAGCAGACUAGUUCAAGCCAAGCCUUCAAUGCAUGGGGCAGAAUAGCUGUGUGCUUUCCAAGAAAUUCCCUGUAGUAAA